CCUACGGGUGGCAGCAGUGGGGAAUAUUGCACAAUGGGCGCAAGCCUGAUGCAGCCAUGCCGCGUGUAUGAAGAAGGCCUUCGGGUUGUAAAGUACUUUCAGCGAGGAGGAAGGCAUUAAGGUUAAUUACCUUAGUGGUUGACGUUACUCGCAGAAGAAGCACCGGCUAACUCCGUGCCAGCAGCCGCGGUAAUACGGAGGGUGCAAGCGUUAAUCGGAAUUACUGGGCGUAAAGCGCACGCAGGCGGUUUGUUAAGUCGGAUGUGAAAUCCCCGGGCUCAACCUGGGAACUGCAUUCGAAACUGGCAAGCUUGAGUCUUGUAGAGGGGGGUAGAAUUCCAGGUGUAGCGGUGAAAUGCGUAGAGAUCUGGAGGAAUACCGGUGGCGAAGGCGGCCCCCUGGACAAAGACUGACGCUCAGGUGCGAAAGCGUGGGGAGCAAACAGGAUUAGAUACCCCUGUAGUC
rnacentral:rRNA from 1 species